rnacentral:tRNA from 8 species
GGAGGGGUGGCAGAGCGGCCGAAUGCACCGGUCUUGAAAACCGGCGAUACGAAAGUAUCCGUGGGUUCAAAUCCCACCCCCUCCGCCA